AUUGAACGCUGGCGGCAUGCUUUACACAUGCAAGUCGAACGGUAACAGGCCUUCGGGUGCUGGCGAGUGGCGAACGGGUGAGUAAUGCAUCGGAACGUACCCAGAGGUGGGGGAUAACGCAGCGAAAGCUGUGCUAAUACCGCAUGUGAUCUGAGGAUGACAGCGGGGGACCGCGCAGCAAUGUUUGGCCUCGCGCCUUUGGAGCGGCCGAUGUCGGAUUAGCUAGUUGGUGGGGUAAAGGCCUACCAAGGCGACGAUCCGUAGCUGGUCUGAGAGGACGACCAGCCACACUGGGACUGAGACACGGCCCAGACUCCUACGGGAGGCAGCAGUGGGGAAUUUUGGACAAUGGGCGCAAGCCUGAUCCAGCAAUGCCGCGUGCGGGAAGAAGGCCUUCGGGUUGUAAACCGCUUUUGGCAGGAACGAAACGGUGUCCGCUAAUACCGGGCGCUAAUGACGGUACCUGCAGAAUAAGCACCGGCUAACUACGUG
rnacentral:rRNA from 1 species